rnacentral:lncRNA from 1 species
CACAUACUUAGAGCGUGCCAUGACAGCCUUGUUUGGUUGUUUUUUCCACCAAGCUCUACUUUUGCAGGCUGAUGGCUGAGGACUGUAAUCUUUGCAACCUUUCUUAUAAUGAGUAAUUCUUAUGUUAAAUGUCCAGUGUUUAAUGUUUUCAGAGACUGGUUUGGUAGUUUAUGUUUUCUGUUCCAGCUUUUAUGAAUGUGAAGUUUUCUGCUCUUGCAUCCGGUUUGGAAUACCUUUCAGGACGGCUGGGGCCUUUAGCACUGCACUGUGUUAUUCUGGUUUACAUUGGGAGACUUUGAAAGAAUGAUUGUAAUGUUGGUCGCUACUAAUAGUGGCAUGAAAGUUUGGUAAAAUUCUGGUUCUUUCAUGGGACAUGAGGAGAAGUUUUGUUCAUUUCAUGAACUCCAGCAAUUUAAAAAAGUUGUAGUCUUGUAUGAUAAGUUGGGAUGAUGUUGCGUUCUCUCUUCUUUCCAACCUCAAGAGGGCUGGUCUUGGACCUCGGUGCUACGGUAUGUUGUAACGUGCAGGCUAUCUCGUGUUUUUGUUGAAAUCCUAGUGACAGUAAGGAUUCUUUUAUGUUUUGAUUGGAACAAGUAUUGAUAAGGUGCUAGAAUCUAGCUUGUUAGGCUUUUUAACCACUUUUCAUAGGGGUUAUGCCAAAUAGGGAAUUAGCUUCUUUUCUUGAUAUUGCGUCUUUGAUGGAUGUUAAGCCAUUUUUCCUCUCAUUUUCUAUUUUUAGUUAUAUAUGUGUUUGCCGGUUGAAACCGACGUUGUAUUUAGUUAAUGCUUGAAUCUCUCCGUAUCCGUCCGUCUGGUCCUUGGGAUGGUGAUCGUGCUUUGACUUGUUCAGGUUUGCUUUUAUGCCAAAAUCAUGUAUUUUUGUAAUAAUGAGUAGAAGGCCUCUUUGCCCUGCUGGUGUGUUUGGUGCCAGAUGUUUGGUAGGUUAAUAGCUCAGAUCCUGGUAGAGGAACGUGAUAGGCAUAAAUGCGCAGAUUAUUCGAGCAUUAUUUUCAGUAUGGAGAGUGGAUCGUUCGCGUAAUUGCUUGGGCCAUGUGGGCACGGUGAUCGUAUCAUACAAAUAUGCAUAUCAUUUGAGCUGUCAAUCAAUUCUUUAGUUUGUAGCUGGAAAAAUAACUUGUGAAAAGGGAGAUCUGCUUAUAUUCAUCGCAGAAUAUCCAGUGUAUCUGGAGAUGUUUAUUGAGUACGAGCUAUGCAAUCAUUAUAUAUAUAUAUAUAUAUAUAUAUAUAUUGNNNNNNNNNNNNNNNNNNNNUGGAGAUGUUUCGAUUGAGUACGAGCUAUGCAAUACAUUAUAUAUAUAUAUAUAUAUAUAUAUAUAUUGCAGACUCCAAAUGGUUGGAAGGAGAUUGGAUGGUUAUGAUAUGGUACUUCAGGGGCGGCUCCGAGAAGGCUCAGCUAAAGAGGAGCCAUAACCCAGCAGCUUGUCUACAUUCCUGCCGGUCAAUUUUGGAUUCGUUCCAGCGCUAGUUUAGGUGUUGAGCCGGGCGGGGUGCAAUCCUGGUCCGUAGUUGCAUGGACCGCUCCUUGAGCCCAAGAUUGUCGCAACUGAGCCUCUCCAGAUAGGGGUGUACAUGGUUUAGUUUGAUAUGAUUUGAAAAUAUUUUUAAAUUAAAUUAAUAAAUUAUAUUUUAUCAAUUUUAUAAAUCAAAUGAGAUCAUUUUGUCACUCAAAUCAGACUAAACCAAUGAAUUACGGUUUGAUCUGGUUUGAUUAACGGUUUGACAUAUUAUAAUAUUGGUGGUAGAAAAUUUUGAAAAAAAAAUAUUCUAGUCAAAAAAAAAAUUGAAAUUAUUAUGAUAGCUUUCGGACCAAUGUAUAGCUCCGGUCUCUGAAAUCAUUAAAAUGAAGAUUAUGCCUUUAAAUCUUAUUGCUGCUAUAUAAGUAUAUUUAUCAAUUAUGCGGUAUUAUUUAAAAUUUAUAAAUGCACAAUCAAACAAAAAUACCUAUAAGUUUCAGAAAAUUCAGAUUAUACAAUGCUGUAAAGAGCAAAGUAAAAUUAUUAUUACUAAAAAAAGUAUUAAAAUUUUUUAGAUCAAGAGACUAAAAAUUUGAUAUUUAGUUCUUUAAUGCUUCAACUAGAAAUUAAAAGUGUUGCACUAUAAAAAUUGUUUGGUGUGAAAUAUAUAAAAAAAAAUUACAAACCUUGUCAAAGCAGUCUCUAGCUACUUCAAUCUUCAUUACUUUGAAGUAUUUUAACCAGAAAUCAAUUGCCACUAUUGUUUUCAUUUCAUUGCUGUGGUUCUUUUUUUCUAUUGUUCUCUGAACUCCAAGUAACUUAAGAAUCGGAGUGUGUCCUACCGAAUGAAUUCCAGCAAGAAGAUUUCUUUGUAGGAAUAUUCUCCAUCGAAAGCAAGGCGUGACUUACUCAGCACUAGACCAAGGUCUUCGUCGGGGUUUAGUGGCAAUAGAAAUUUUUCAUCAUUCAAGGCAUUCUAAUUUAGAAUUAAAUCUAGAUUUUUUAAAUAAUACUUGAUUUGCCCUUUGUCCUUUAAAAAUUAUCUCACGUGUGAAAGAUGAUCUCCUUCUUAUAAAGACGAGUCCCUCUUGACUAACCACCGAUGUAGAAUUAUUUAUGCCCUCCAUAUUAUUAGAACUAUAUUAUUAGGACCUCGACUCACAAUCAAUGUAGGAUUAUUGGUGCCCUCCACAUUAUUAGAAUCACGUUAUUAAGACCUUGACCCCUAUCUGGGAGGGCAUUAUUAUGGAUAAAGGCUCAAUCCGACACGUGAGGUAUUAUCCGUUCUGGCCGAUGGGCCUCAUGGUUUUGUCAUUUGAAAGGUGCCUCAAGUGGAAAAGAUAAUCCCUUCCUUAUAAGCGCGAGUCUCUCUAGACUCACAAUCGAUGUAAAACUAUUGGUAUCCUCUACAUUAUUUAAACCACAAUAGUAUAAAUAAAAAAAUAUUCAUAAAUCAUCUAUUUUUUAGAUAGCUUGUAAGAAAAAUUAUAAAUAAAUAUAGUUGUAAAUAGAAGUUAUGAAUAUUUGUAAAUAUUUUUAGUCAUCAAUUUUUUUAAAAACAUCUAAAAUUAUUUUUUUAUCAAAAAAAUUUUAUAUUUUAUGAAAAAUAAUGAUUAAAAUAUUAAAUAUAACAAUAUAAAUGAAAUAGUUGUUUAAUGAUCGGAAAGCUUACCAAUAAGUUUGAAAAGAAUGAUCCAUAUAAGUUAGAUAUAAGGCCGCAAGGCCGCAAACGAGGGAUCGAUCCAUGACCUGACCUUAUUUGACCCAUUUAGACUCGAUCUGCAUCUGAUUUAAGGACCCAUGAGGUCAGAUUGGUUAUCAAAUUUGGACUUAUUCCACAUUUUGAGUCAGGUCUAUAUUUAUUGAGUUAUAAGCCAACCCGACUCGCUUAUUGUCUAAGUUUGAUUGGAGCCUUACCUAUGACCCGACCUGACUUAACCUGAACCCAUUUUUAGAACUUCGGAUCAGUUUGAACCAAAAAAAAUGAAUACACACCCCUACUUUCUUUCUCUUUCAUCCCUUCUAGCUAAGAUUUCUACUUUUCACUUCGUACUUUUUUCUUUACGACUAUCUCUUCUAUAAUUCCACCAUCUCUCAUACCACCAUUGGUAUCUCUCUCUACCAUCACCAACUCCAAAGUUUCCGCCAUGGCCAUCACCACCACCAAAUCUACCAUCGCCACCCCUUAUGACCCUUGAGAAGUGAAGCUAUUUUCAUAAAGUAUAAGUUAGGAAGGCAAAUCUUUCUUAUAUAUGUAAUGGCAUAUCAAAGAUAUGAAACUCCUUCAACUAUACUAAGCCCUUGAAUUUGUCUCCUCCUUAGACAUCUAGAAGAUGAGGUGCAAAUGGUGAGGAUUUUGGAGAAGAUAGUGAUGGAGGGAAUGAAGAAAAAUGGGAAGUAAAAACUAUAACUAGAAGAGGAGGAAAAGAUGGAAGAAAGAGUUAAAACCCUAGCUAGAAGAGGAGAAAAAAAGGGAAGAAGAGUUCAAUCCCUAGCUAAAAGAGGAAAAAAGAAAGGAGUUUAGGAUUCCACAUCAACUAAUUCUAUGCCACAUCAGCUUUCACUAUAUGUUAUGUGAUGUCAUAUGGCCAUUUCUAUCACUGUCUUUAGACGAAAAUAGUAGUCGGAGGAGAAAUUGUAAUAUUUUAAAAAUUUGAUGAUUUGAUUACAAUGAAUCGAAUUUCAGGAUAAAAAUGAAAAUCUCAAAAAGUUUAAGAUUUUUAAAGUGAUUAAGCCUUCUAUCUAAUAUCUCUCUUUCUUAUCCACAUUCACAAGAUGCACCAAUACACCUAUGAUAAUUAAUCUUCAAUCCUGAUGGCCCUUCUUAUAGAUAUAAAAUCAUCUUGAGAUGUCUAUUUUCUUUCCUUGGUGCCACAAAAAAAACACCAUAUCAUUACCAUAUUGCAAUUUUAUAAUGCCUCCUAGUGUCAACUGCCUGUGCAACUCAGUCAAAAGCUUAUGUCGAACAACACUGGACAACAUCCAGGGGAGGGCAUCUAUGCAAGGGCAAACAAGAGCAGCAAGGGGGGACCAUCAUUGUCGACACAUGACCAUUCAGCUGACCUAUCCAUUCAUAGAUGGUGAGAUCCUACCCAAGCAUACCACAACCUCCAUCUAGGUAAUCCAUUUAUGACCAAAUCCCUUUGGUCACAGCAUUUCAUAUAAAAAGUUUUAUCAUAUGCCUUCUCAAAAUCCGACUUCACUAACGCUCCCUCUUGUGUCGACAGCAAGCGACGGCCAUGCAAGCAAAACAAUCAAGAAUGAAUCUUUUUGGAAUGCACUAUGUGAGUUGGCGUCCAACUCUUUAGUGACAGCUCGAAGCCUUAUAGCAAGUACUCAAGUCAUAAUCGUGAAAGCCACAUUCAACAUAUUAAUGGCCCUAAACUAUAGCAACUAACAAGCCCCCUCCACUUUGGGAAUCAAAGGAAGGGCAUAAUUUAGACCAUAUCUUUCCUUCGACUUGUUAUAGAACUGCGAGUACAUUGGUAGCAAGUCACCUUUUAUGUUAUUCCAAUUUCCAUUACCUAGUCAUUCUUAGUAAUCCGAGGUCUUGAAAGGGGUAAAAUGGGGACAAAUCUAAUUUUUAGCAUUUUUCUAUACAAAGUGGCUAGCCCAAGAUAUACUCAUACUAUUAUGUUUGUCAACCUAAGCCUUUUAUUAUUCCACCACACAAUAGAUGCCUUUUACUAUGUUCCAGUAACUUUGAAAAAAUAAAAGAGAAAACCUGUCCGACCCUGACACCUUCCCCACAAUAAGGUCAAAGGCAACUGCUCAGACCUCUCCAUGAAAUCAUCGCCUAACAAAUCAAGAUUCAAGAGUCUAUCCCCUAAACCAUAUAGGGUUGACCCAUGAGUGCGCAACCUCCAUGGACUCACCAUAAAGAACAUAUACAUAAAGUGCUCGUGCAUUGCCUCAAGGACAAUGGCUAAUCAAUAAUUUCCUUCAACCUUAGUUGAAGGAGAUGAUGGAAUUUCUUUGGCAUUAUCUCAAGGCUACGUGAUGGACAAAAGUAGUGUUUGAAUCAUCCUCUUUCAGCCAAAGUGCCAAUGACUAUUGCUUCCAAAUGAUUUCCUUGUGCUUAAACAUUUGUCGGAGUUCAUAGCUUGCCUCAACUCUCAAGGAUCUCUUCACUUCAGAUAAAGGCCUAUGCUCCUCUGCAUGUAACCAGGUGAUUGAAUCAAGUUCUGCUUUCGAGCCCAAAUAAAACAAAAUUUUUUUAGCAACACCUUCAAAGCAGCCUUAGUCUUCUAACUUGAGCCCCUCACCACACCACACAUUUGGUUCUAUUGCUCUCCCAUCAUUCCCAUAGUGGAAGGUCAAAGUCUAGUGGCUCAAUUCAUGUCCUUAUGAACCAGAAGAUGCAAUCGAGCUUGAAGCUAGCAUCUAUAAAUAGGAGAGUAGGUUGUAAUUAGAUCGGUGCCACUUUUCAUUGCAGACCAGCAAGCCAGGGUAUUGCCCUUCCCACUCAUGUGAGACUGGAACCAAUCUAACCAACCCAAAAUCAAGGAUGAUCGGAGAUACAACUAUAAGAAGUCGUGUAGAAUAUUCUACCCGAACACGAACUUGAAGAUUGCAGCGGAAUUUGACUCCCAAGAUUGUUUUGGCUCUCAAUUGAUUAACUUCUCCUUCUUCACCACGAACAAAGUCCAAAUGGUAUUACACAAGAUCACGAGUCAAACCCUAUGUGUUUUCCACACCAGGCGCACCCAAAUCCACUCUCAAAAAAUAAUGAACUCUAUGUUUUUCUUUCUAAAAGAAGUUCUCUCUUUUUUUGAGGGAAUAACAAAAAAAAUACUUCAAGAUUUCAUCUCAAAAGUCUUCUUAAAAAAUGAUAUUUUUCUGUGGACACUUCGUGGAUAAAACUUCAUAAGAAAACCAUCGAAAAAUAACUCGUAAUUUUGAAUCUCAUCCAAAAGGGGCACAUGACCCUCUAACUCUCCCUCCAUCUCAGCAUAACAACCAAGAGGCGCCCACAAAACAUCGUAACCAACAAGUGGCACAUAACCGCCAUGUGGGCACCUCUUUCUGGAUUCAAAAUUCAAAUAGUUAAAUCAAAUAUUUAACUUGGAUCAGGUCAUGAUAACAGUCAACCCAUCAUGGGUGCCCUAUAUUCUAAUAUCUCUCACUCACACAUGAUGAGAUGAUCUACAUAGAGCUUUCUUGGAUUUUCAUAUUGUGUCAUCAUGACUGCAUGGGCACCAAGUUUGAGAGCUUUUAUACUAAAAAUCCAUCUCAGAACCAACAUAAGAGACUACAACCCUUUUAUUACUCAGAUCUAUCACAAAAGUACCUCAGAUAUCCUAGAUUUGUCUAUAUACACUCAUACGUGGCAUCUCUAAUCUCUCAUGUCUCUAUCACCCAUAGCCUUACCACUAUGAUCUCUAAUAUGUCUUGUGUCCACGCUUAUGAUGCUCCUAGAAAUAACUUCAUAAUGGAUAUGUCUCUGACACAAGCAUAGUGUGUAUAUAUCGGACAGGAUCUUUGUUUCGCCCACAUAUCACUUAAAUCAAAAUUAGCUGCUUUCCUGACAUUACUCCUUGAGGUCGCAUUAUCAUAAUCUUUGGAUAUAUGCUAUAAUAGCAUACACUAACUCUUCACCUCAUGAUACUAUCAAAGUAAUAAGGGCAUCAAUAAAAAGAUUCUAUACCUUUCUGAGACUCACACAACAAUGAAGCAGGGAUUCAUUCACGUGCUUCCCAAUCGUAGUUCUUAAGCGCAUGCAAUAUGAAACACAUGCUACGGUGUACUGUUUAUUCUAUAAGAGCAAAUAUCGAUUUUUUUUACUUUAUACCAUACGGAUUUUAGUCCAAGUGCUCUCGAUAUUUGACUCGAGUUCUACUACUCCGCUCAUCCUCAUAGUAUUAGAUGUAUGCUCUAGAAGCCAAUCAUACCGAUACAUUAAUUCUUUCUAGGAUGUAAUUUUUAUACUUGACCUAAUUGAUUAGGAUAAUUAAUUUUAUUCAUGUAGUAUAUGCAUCCAUUAAUCAUUCAGAGAAUUAAUAAGAUGAUGAUACAUAUUCUCAAGAGUUGAGAAUUUGAUGCAUGUGUCAUUGAUGGUUAAUUCUCAGAUUAUCUUCGAUCGAAGAAUCAUCAUGAAGACGGUGAUUGAUCCGAUAAGAUUGGUGCACGGAUUGCUUCUCUUAGGACAGAUAAGUCUUGAGUCUACAGUGUGGAGAUAUUGGAGUGAGAGUAUUGAUGGUUGUUAGAGAACAACAGUACUAAGCGUGACCAACAUGAGAAGUCACUUGGAUGUCUACUUACUUGUCAAUGAUAUUCUCGAUGCGGUAGUUAUGUGAAUGGUUUUUAGACCUGCGGUACCUCAAUUGUUCAUAAUAAGGUUGCUGUAAUUUGAUUGCACCAUAACUCGAUCUCCUAGCCAUACGAAAUCUUGAGGUAUAUAUUGACUGUAGUAGGUUUAUUAUAAGAAUAGGAUGUGCAUCAAGAUGGGAUCUAUCGAUCUUAAUAGAAAAAGAGUAGUCCUAUAUAAUUUAUGAGAUUAAGUUUGGAAGAUCUUGAUCAGGACAGAAUGAAUGAUGAAAAAGAGUUUUUAUUAAAUUUCACAAAUGAACUCAAAUCGAAUAAAUCUUAUAUAUGACAGACGAUGGGAUUUGAUAAAUUUUUCAUGAUCUCAUUCUUAUCGAAACUCACGAUGAAAGAACUGAAUCACAUGAUAACUACACCUAGAAGUUCAUCAUUCUAUUCUGCUGGAUUAUCACUACAUGCUGCUAGGUAUCACUGGUAGAUUAUGAAAUUAAUAAAAAUUAUUUUAAUGAUCAAUAAUUUUUGAUUGAUGAAUUAAAAUUAUUUCAAUCCAUUAAAAAGAGUUUCAAUGAUAUUUUGAUGGAGAUCAAAAUAUUUUUCACUACCAGAUAGAAUAAAAUCUAUGGGAUCAUACAUAAAGAGGUUCUAACUGAUCAGACUAUCGAAUCAUAAUUUUGAAUUGCAAAUCGCAAGUGAUCUUAAUUAUUAAUUUGAUUAAUGAUUGGACUUAAAUAUAUGAGUUAUAUUAAGGACUUACUAAGAGUUAGUAAGUUAUAAGAGGACUAAAUUAUAAAUACUGCUAGAUUAUUUGAUUUAAUCAAAUAAUUGAUUUGAGUCGUAGUCAAAUUAAAUUCAAAUUUAAUUUGAUUAUAUUUGGAUUGAGUUUGAAUCAGAUUGGAUUUCAUAAAUCCAAAAUGGUCUUGGAUUUGGUUAAGUACUUGACUUAUUUGGAAACCCAAAUCAAUUUGGAUUUGAACCCAAACCAGAUAAGUGUUUUAUCAACAGAAAGACUCCUCCUUUGAGACCUCACGCCCCUUGUUUUCAUGUUAAGAUGAAAGCUUUGGUGGCUUAUGGCAUGGAGAAAUUCAAGGUAGGAAAGGUGGGCGGCUACUAAGAAAACUCUAUCUAAAACCCUAACCAUCUUUUGAGUUUAAAUAAAGGGACAAAGGGGGUGCCUCCUAAGAGAUGAGAUCUUUUUUUGGAUGCCCCACAUGAGAGAAAAGAGUGCGUGAGAUAUGGAGGGCCUGGAUCAAGUGGAGGAUGCCAAGGAGCCUUUUGCAUGAGGGAUUUUCUAAGAGAGAAGAAAAAAGGUGGUUGGCACCAUAUCCCUAUCUUUUCUUUCUUACAACCAAAAAUUGGUUGUUGAAGGUAACCUCUCUCCCUCUCUCCUUUGUCCAAAGAUUGAAUAUGUCUCCUUCUUCUUCUCUCUCAAACAUGUCCAAGAGUUGGAUAUUAAAUCAGAUUUGAUAUGAUUUUUCUCUCCUCUAUAGAUGUCCAAAGGUUUGACAUAAAAUUAUAUUUGAUCUGAUUUUUUUUUUCUUCUUGAUCCAUACGAUGGACAUAAAAUUCUUUCUCUCCCUUGUCCAAGAGUUGGACAUAUUAAAAUUAGAUUUGAUCUGAUUUUAUUCUCUUUUUCUUGGUCUAUGAGAUGGAUAAAAGGUUUUUCUCUACCUUUCUAGAUCUAGUCUAAAGGUUGGACAAGAAAGGAAGAAAAAAGAGAUUAAAUCUCUUAUCUUCUUCAAUAGAUCUUGAAUUUUUUUAAAAAAAGAGAAAAGUAAAAAAAAAUCAGAUAUGAUCAGAUUUCAUCAUCCUCCUAUAGAUCUGUUUAAUUUUCUUGAGAAGAGAAUCAAAAGAUCAAACCAAUUCGAUAAUCUAAAAGACGAUCUCUGCAAGAGAGCUAGCAUCCCAGUGAGAUCGAGUCCUCCUAAUCAGAUCAGCCUCGAUGGAUAUCCAUAGAGGUCGGAUGCGUGUGGUGGCUCUGUAAAAACCUCACCAGAUUACCACGGACCAUCAGAUUGCGGUGAAGAUCUAUCCGUACAAAGAUAAAGAUCUAAAUCUAUUUUUAAUUUUUAGCAUCUUAAUUUCAGCAUGUAAACUUUUCUGGCAUGUAUAGAUUAGAUCUAUAAUUUUAUGCAUAUUAGAUUUAAAAUAGUUUUAAAUCUAGAUCAGUUUUAAUUUCUAUUACGUUCAUGAUUUUUAAAAAUUAAAAAUCUACAUAUUUUGAUUUAUGCAUGUAUAUUUUUGGAAGUUGAACUUUCUACACAUAAUGCCUGAAGAAAAUCUCGCAUCUGGCUAUAGUUAUUAUGGAUGGUGGUAAUCCAUAAUUCGAUCUAUAUAUUAUGUCUCUCUUGGAUCUCAUCCUGGUCUCUUACCAGGGAGACAUUAUAAACUACAUUGUAUUCUUGCAUACCACAGGGCGCCCUUUGGCUGCCAUUCUUGAUGCUAAGAAACACAAAAUGUCUCAUCUUAGCUCGCUCCUUAUAAGCGCCCAAGGCAAUUGCUCGUGUGAGAAAGCCAACCUUACCAACCUGUACGACAUACUACCACAUUAUGUAUGUGUUCACUAUGAUAUGAGAAAAUAAUUACUGAAUAAAAAUGUCAUAUUUAUUCAUUCAAAACAAAUAUAUUCAAACAUAAUAUAUAUAUAUAUAUAUAUAUAUAUAUAUAUAUAUAUAUAUAUAUAUANNNNNNNNNNNNNNNNNNNNAUAUAUAUAUAUAUAUAUAUAUAUAUAUAUAUAUAUAUAUAUAUAUAUAAUACUCCACAAUCUACGUAAUCCUAGAAAUUUCACAUGCUCAAUAAACACAUCCAUAGUUCGUCAAGGGGUCUGUUACCAUCUCGUGUGUGGUGAUGUACUGUAGAGUUAUUUUCUUUUGUGCUAUCACGUCUCUCAUGAAAUUAUACUUCGUGCCUAUGUGUUUCAUCCUACUAUGAUACUUAAGGUCCUUCUUGUAGGCUAUGGCUGUUUUGGCUAUCAUAAUAGCAUCUUACUGGCUCUAUCUCUCUACUAAUAACCCCUAAAUAGCCUAUAAAAUAUCUCAACCAUACUGCCUCUUACACUGCAGCAGAACAUGCAACAAAUUCUGCUUUCAUGGUCAACAAUGCCAUGCAUGUAUGUUUCUUGCUGCUCCAAGAAAUGGUACCAUUAUUUAGCAAGAAUACAUAAUCGAAAAUAGAUUUACUUUCAUCCAGAUCGCCAAUCCAAUCAGCAUCUGAGUAACCCACCAACUACAAGUCACUCCCAUGGUAACACAAUCUAUAAUCGACAGUGCCUCUCAAGUAUCUCAAGAUCCUCUUGAUCGGUUGCCAAUAUUUCUGCCUCGGAUUGAACUGAUAACGACUUACAAGACCCACUACAUAACAAAUAUUGGGUCGUGUGUACAUUAUUGCAUACAUCAAGCUCCCAACGAUGCUGGAAUAAGGGACUUUCCUCAUGGAAUCUCUCUCAGAUUGAGUCUUAGGAUACGUCUUAAGGCUUAAAGCUUCACCUUUAACAAUAAGGGUAUCUAUAGGCUUAUAAUUUUUCAUCCUAAACCGCUCAAGAAUCUUCUCAAUGUAUGAUUCUUAUGACAAAGUGAUUAGGUUCAUAGAGCAAUCCCUUUGGAUUUUAACUCCAAGAAUAAAUUCUAUCUCACCCAUAUCCUUCAUCUCGAAAUUCAAGGACAGCCAACUCUUAACGGUAUUCUCGAAAGAUAGACUACUUCUGACUAAUAAUAUAUCAUCCACAUAAAGGGAUAAUAUGAUAAAAUCUGUCUCAGACUGCUUCAUAUAUAUACAGUGGUCCUCAUUGAUCAUCCGAAAGUCAUAAGAUGAAAUAGCUAGAUGAAAUCUUAAAUAUCACUGCCUAGAUGAUUGCUUAAGUCUAAAUGGACCUUCGAAGUUUGCCAAUUUUGUACUCCUAACCUUUCUCAAUGAAACCUAAUGGCUGUUCCAUAUAUAUUUCUUCAUCUAGUUCUCUAUUGAAAAAUAUGAUCUUUACAUCCAUCUGAUGUAAUUUCAAGUCCAACUUGGCAACCAUAGCCAGAAUAACUCUUAUAGAAAUGAAUCUCACAAUAGGCGAGAAGGUAUCCUCAUAACCAAUACCUUCCUAUUGUGUGUACCCCUUAGCUAUUAAAUGAGCUUUGUAUCUCUCAAUAGAAUCAUCUACUUUUCUCUUAAUAUUGAGAACCCACUUAUUUCUAAUCAUCUUUCGGUCCGACGGAAGGUCAGCCAAGUUCCAGACAUGGUUAGUCCUCAUAGACUCUAUCUUCUCUUCCAUUGCUUUCAUCCAUUUAUCCUUAGCAGGGCAUGAGAGAGCCUCUUGAACUGAACUCGAUUCCUCAUCAUCUCUUAGAGUAAUUAUUAAUGCUUCCCCUUCGAUCUAGAAACAACAUCAAGGAACAUUUUCUCGGCUACUCCUAUGCAACAGUGUCUCUUGAGGACUCUCAAAUAUUCUUCCACUUGGAUUAGUAGGUGGAGGUACAACUAUUUGUUCCUCACUUUCUUGGUUCUCAUCAUUUACUUGCUGAUCCGCAAUCUCAUAAAAUGACACAACUUUGUCAACAUCGCCUCUACUAGAAAAUUCAUUCUUUAAAAAUAUGAUAUCUCGCGACUUAAGCUCUGUAAUGCUUCCAUCUUCAUUGUCACCAAUGAAGACAUAGCCCUUUGAGUGUUCAAAAUAUCUGAUAAAUAUACACUUUUUGCUCCUAGGGCCUAACUUUCCAUACGUAUGAGAAGGAUCAUGCACAUAAGCUACCGACCCCCAGGGCCGCAGUACACUCAAAUCCAACUUUCUACCCAUCCACAAUUCAUAGGGUAUGGAAGCAACAGACUUAGAGGGCACCCGAUUAAGUUCAUAGGCUGCAGUCAUCAAAGCAUCUCCCUAAUGAAAAAUAGGCAAGUUAGCCUGCGCCAUCAUCGACCUAACCAUCAUGAGCAAAGUCCUAUUUCUUCGCUCUGCAACUCCAUUCUAUUGUGGACUGCUAGGAAUCGUCAACUGUCUUACGAUUUUCUUUUCAUUACACAGAUGCUUGAAUUGAUUUGAUAAAUACUCAUAUCCACGGUCAGUUCUCAAAGCCUUAAUCUUUUAAUGCAAUUGAUUCUCAACCAAACUCAUGAAUUAUCUGAAGCACUCUAAAGCUUCAACUUAUGGGAGAUCAAGUAAAUGUGAUCAUAACAAGUAUAAUCAUCAAUAAAAGUAAUGAAAUAUAAGGCUCCAUGCUUUACCCUCACACUCAUUGGACCACAUAUGUCAGAAUGAAUCAAUUAUAAUGGAAAGUCAGCUCUGGUUCCUUUCUCAAAUGGUUUUCUAGUUGCUUUACUUACUAGGACAUCUCUAUUUUUAUCAAGGAUCCUAAUAGUCAUGCUUUUACCAACCUAUUCAUUCUCUCUAAACCCAUAUGUCCAAGCCUAGUGUGCCAAACAUUCACAUCAAAAAUAUUAUUCAUGAUAGGAGAUAAAGAAAAACAAUGAUUGUCUGAAAUAUAACCAUUAUUAGAAAUUGUAUCCAAUACAAUGAAACCAUCCAAAAAAAAAUUAGAACCGAAAAGUCUAGUCCCAAAAAUAAUAUCAACUAAAUUAUUGUGAAAAUUCACACUGAAACCUAAUCCAAGAAGAAAGACAUCUGAAACUAAGUUUUGUCAGAUUUUUGGAAUGUAUAAAACAUUAUGUAGGAGUAGGGUUCGUCCACCAUGCAACUCUAGCUUGCAUGUUUCGAUCCCUUUCACUUCAAUACUUGCAUUGUUUCCUACAUAAAGCCAUCUGCUCUUGGAAGGUAGCCAAUGGUACUCAACAAAUGCUCCUUUACUCUAGCUAUGUGGUCUGUUGCAUCUGAAUUCACAAUCCACAAAGAAUUAGCAUCAGUCGUUAAUGCAGUGCUAGAAACAUAAAGAAAUGAGGAUGCUCAUCGCAUGGUGUUACCUUAUUCUGCUCCAAGCAAUCUCGAACAAAAUGACCCAUCUUAUGGCAGUCAUAACACUCCACUUUGGUCAUAUCUCUCUUUCCACCAUGCUUCCCUCUCUUCUUAAAAUCGAGUUUAGCCAUCUAUUGGCUUCUCAGAUCCCUUCUUUUGCCAGCUUCUCUUAUUCCGAGGCUUCUUACCCUUGCCCUUCUGCUUGGCAUCUGAAGUUCCAGCAGUCUCAACUAUAAAAGCAUGAUUAGAUAUCUUAGCAGCCUCCCAAUGCUCAUCCUCAAGAAUAAGAUGAUGCUUUAUGUCAACAAAAGUCUUAACAGACUCAUUGUGAGUCAUAUUGACCUUCAUAUACUCUUAGCCAGUAGAUAAGGAUCUAAUAAUAACUUGCACCUACUAUUCGUCUAAGAGGUUGUGACCAGCUGACUUCAGCUCCUUAAUCAUGUUUGGCAUCUCUCUCAAAUACUGCCUCAUCGAAACAUUAGGGUGCAACCUGUAUGUGUCAAACUUGAUGGCCAACCUCUUAAGUUUGGUACCAGAAGUGCCCCCAAACUUAUUCUUCAGUGCGAUCCACAUGGUCGGAGCCAUCUUAUAAGACUCAAACUCACACAUGAGAUCAUCAGCCAUGCUGCUCAGCAACGUAAUGCGAGCGAUGCUGUCUUUUUUUUUUCAAGCUAGAAAAGCCUCAUGAUCUGUCCUGUGCUGUUGCAUGUUUCCACGCUCUGGCUCAACCAUCACAUGGUUCAAUGUCUCCAAAACAUCCUACUCCUUAAGGAUGUACUUAACCUUAUGUGGUCAAAAAUCAUAAUUGUCCCCAUCCAGUUUAUCGCUCUUGUUGAGCUCUGCAAUGACGUUCUUUGAAGCCAUAUUUGCACACAUAAAAAUGGCAUAGAUCAACACACACAAUAUCAUGUUUGCUGCGAUUGCAAUUAGAUUAACAAUGGUCUACAAUUAAGUUCACGAUUGAAAGUCGACGUUUGUCAACCCUCAUCACAUGAAACUUAACUAUACCAGCAUCCCUCUAAUUCAAUCAUGUGCACAACAUCUAUUACACCACAGUUCUUAAAUGAGCCUUUCAUCUACCAAUUUAAGAACUCCCAUUCAAACUAAAAAGUCUAUAUGGUCCUUAAACGAGCCCCUCGUCUACCAGUUUAAGGACUCUCACUAGGAUAAAUAUACAUCACAUAAAACAUGUAACAUACAAUAUCAUGGUAUCAUAUGAACACAAAAUUAACAUACAUCAUGCAUAUAUCUCAUAUUAGGCCUAGUAUGAAAAAUAUGUCAUAAUACUUAUUCAUAUUCAUCUUUAUCCUGAUAAAAAAAAUAUAUUACAUGCAAAAGAAGCAUGAAAUAAGACAAAUAAAAUCACAAACAAUAAAAGGAAAGUACCAUGCAGAUCUAUUACCGAUGCUGUGAUUCUCAGAAUAUGAUUUUCAUUUGUUAACCAAGUCCUAUUUACUAUCGACAUCUCAUUUGCUUUGAUAUUCUUGGGCAUACAAAAAUUAUCAAUCACUGCUGGUUGAUCGAACUACAAUUGUCAUGCCCAUAUAAACAAACAACCUCUUUUUUUUUGUAAAAAUUCUAAAUAAGCUACACAUCUCAUUAAAUCAUCUAUGAUAUAUAAUAAUUUUUUCAUGGCCUAUGAUGGUAUUUUAAAAAAUUCUAUCAUUAAAGGCCAUAUAUUUAGAGAGAGAGCAAUCUUGCCGAAAAACAAAAAAAAAACUUGGCUCUGAUACCAAUGUAAGAAGUCGUGAAGAAUAUUUUAUCCGAAUGCAAACUUGAAGAUUGCAGCGGAAUCUGACUCCCAAGAUCGUUUUGGCUCUCGGUUGAUUAGCUUUUCCUUCUUCACCACGAACAAAGUCCAAACAGUAUUACACAAAAUCACGAGUCGAACUUUGUGUGUUUUCCACAAUGGGCACACACCCAAAUCCACUAUUAGAAAACAAUGAACUGUAUAUUUUUCUUUCUAAAGGAAGUUUUCUCUUUUUCGAAGGGAAUAAGAAAAAAAAUACUUUAAGAUCUCAUCUCAGAAGCCUCAUGGAGACUCCGCGGAUAAAAUUUUGUAAGAAAACCGCUGAAAAAUAACUUGUAACCCUGCAUCUCAUCCAGAAGGGACGCAUGACCCUCUAACUCUCUCUCCAUCUCAACGUAACAACCAACGGGCACUCACAAGAUAUGGUAACCAACAAGUGGCGCAUAACCACCAAAUGGGGGUCUCCUUUUGGAUUCAAAAUUCAAAUAGUUAAAUCAAAUAUUUAACUUGAGUCGGGUCAUUAUAUGGGUCAGCCCAUCAUGGGUGCCUAUAUUAAAUCACCUCCCCAACAUGUAGAGAUCCACCCAUCUAUAGGAUAGCCAAAGCAUCUUUAAACAACUACAUCUCCCAUUGAGCUCCCAAUCUUCCGCCGCACUUCAUUACAAUCCUCGUGGCAUUAAAAUCAGCGACUAUCACCCAAGGUGGCAAACUUGUCCCUUUGUCUAAAUUAACUUCUUCUCGAACUUAGUCUUCAAUUGAUGAUCAACUGGUUCGUACACCCAGUCAUCGUCUAAUUAAAACCAUCCACUAUAUUCACCCACAAAUACGCUAAAUCUCUAAUGCCACUCUAAAAGCCGAAUGCACGUAUAUGGGUUCCACCCAAUUCAAACACCCCCAGAGCUUCCCACCACAUUCAGCAAUCAGCACCCUCCAUUCCUUUAUCAUUACGCUGCCAACAACCCUCAGAACCUGUUGAGAUGGAUCUACCAGCUUGAUUUCAUGAAGGCAAAUCAUCUCUCCCUUUUCAAGCUUAAGAAUGUUCUUAACAACCUUCUUUCAUUCACCUUCCCUAAGCCCCUCAUGUUCCAAGUGAGCAGCUUUAUCUACUCGUCAUCGGCUCCACCUAGUCAGCUCAACUAAAGCCGUCCUCAACAACCCUAUCCAUAGCCUGCACCCUCUCUUCUUAGAGCUUCCCGAGUUUGUCUAUGGCUUGGCCCGUAGACCCAUCCUCAAUCAAAUUAAACUCCACAAUUAGCUGCUGGAGUCACAAUUUGAUCAUUUGAUAGCAAAAUCAGGACCAAUGCAAUAUCAUCCAUUAUCUAAGCUUACCUUAGGAUUUGCAUCGUCUUGCAGCUGAUUCAAAAUGAACUCAUGCUUAUUUCCUCUGCUUGAACUGAAGUGCUCAAGUCAUUUUAUUGAUCGAGAUUUUUCAGCUGAAAUUUUUGGUAGAAGUUCUUUAGUUUCGAACAAUUGGAUCAAUAUUGAAAGGCAUAGUUGAGAGUACAGAUAUGUACUCAAAAUUAAUAAAUUUUGACGAACUUACCAACUUUUUAACUCAUUUACCUUUUCCAUUGAGGGGCCGGUCAGUGUUUGAGAUGUUUUUCCGUUGAAAGAGAAAUACCGGCAUAAGCUAAAUAUAUUUGUUGCGGCCAACUCUCCACCAUCUGUCAUUGAGAACGAAUACCUAUAAAACAACAUCCGCAUAGAUCAGAUUUGUGUCCAGCGCAGACCUUCCAAUGCUUAAGUCAGAGAAAAAAAUUGGUGAACAGGAGUUGAAUAUAAAUAGUAGUAGAAUUUUGGCCCAAAGUUGGCUUACCAGUCCCGUUUUCUUUAUCCCCUUUUAUAGAUGAGAUUUUCGUAACCAUCGGACGUGAUCCCGUAUUUUAUAACGCUAAAUCAUCGGAUCAUAAUCACAUAGUGGAUCGUUAAUUUUCACUGAUUGCGUCGUGAUAUAUGGCCGGUAAUCGUUCAUGACGGUUAUGAUAUAUCUGAGUUGACUGAUCGACCAUAUGUCGAUAGAAUCGACCAUACGUCGGUAGAAUCCAAGAGCAACCGUCGGCUAGUAGUUUUGUUAUACUGAUGGUCUAAGUCGUCCGCUGUCGAUCGAUAGUAGUCGAAUCAUUAGUCAUCAUUAGUCGGUCAGCCGGCAAUAGGUCGAUGUGAUUCGUUCAAUUGGUCAAUGAAGAGUCGAAAUCGCAUAUUCAGCCGAUGUAGAGUCGGAGUUGUAUAUCCGAUCAGUCGGCUGUUGUUGAGUCAGAGUCGGUAAUUGGUUGACUUGAGGCAGGGGUCGAUUGAGUUAUCCCAACAGUUACCCCCCACUCCCAAGUCCAAAGUGAGUCGAUGUGUAUAUUAUCACAUAGUUUGUCACGUUGGACAAAGAGAAUUAUUUAUUGCCAUAUCGAAUCUCGAUUUUGAUGCCGUUUUCUUCGAGAUAUGGGUGAUCGGCUAUUUUAUCAUGUUGGCAGAUAUAGUCGUUUGUCACACUGACCGGCCGAUUUGGUAUAAGUUGUCAGUGUCAGGCGUCAUUUUGGAAAGUCGAUUCGGUGUCUGAUGAUAUGAUUCUGACAAGUAGAUUUAUUCCAUGUGUCCAAAAGUUACUGGGUUAGAAUUGUUCACGCGGAUAGAGGUGACGUGGCUCAAUCUGGGGCAGGUGGAUCGAACCAUCCGAUCAAUGAUCGGUUCAGAUGUUGUCACGUGUCGUUAUGUAGUAGAUCUUCGAUUUAACCGCCUGUAUCUCGACCGUUGAGGGAUUCUAUAUAUAUAGGAUCACUCUCAAUCAAAUUUUCACUUUUCACUGUUUUUGAUGCUGGGACUCUACCGGAUUGUUGCCCCAAUGCCCAAGGUUAUCGCUCCCAACUUUCAGGUCAACUCCAUCUUUCUUUCGAGUCCUUUCCACUUUCCUCUAAAGUUUUUGUCUUCUUCAGAAUUGUUCUCUUGGCUAGGGCCUCUCCUUCUCGGGAAGAUCAGUCGGAGAAUCCAACUGAUGAAUCCCAGUCGGGUCCGGAUGUGGAAGCUUCAUCAUUUUCGGAAUCGAACGUUGAAUGGCUCCGGGAGCAGUUUUGUAUCUCGAAGUAGUUUCAAGUUUUCGCCCCUAGGACCGAUGGUCGGGUGAAUAACCCACCUUCGGGACAUGUGGCCUUCUACAUCGAAGAUCUUCGGGCGGAUCUUCGAUUUUCGAUUUUAAAAUUUAUCCAAAAUAUUUUGGAUUAUUACGGACUUUGCCCGACUCAGCUGGCAUCGAACUUGAUCCGAUUGAUAAUUAGCUUUGCUUUGCUAUGUCGGAUGUUGCCGAUCAUGCCCCGUCCUUCUCUUUUUCGAGCCUUCUUCAUCCUCCGAUCUUAUUCGAAGGCCCGAGGGUGGUGGUUCUUUAACCCCCAAAAAGGCCUUUCCUUUAUUACUAAUCUUUUAUCGUCCUUUCAUGGAUGGAAGAACUAUUUUUUUUUUGCUUCUUCUUCCCUUCCUUGGGGUUUUCCUUCUCGUUGGGGUGAUCCUUGAACCGGUCCCAAUGACAACAGUUGGAUAGAGGUCGACGACUAGAAGGACUUUCACUGGCUGAAAGACAUGUCGGUGCCGAAGCAGAAAGAGCUUGUAACCGAACAGACUCUUUAUGACGUCGGUCUUAGUUCGGUUCCUCGUCUAGAUAUAGUAUAGUUGGUCGGUUAUUUCUGAUUUUUCUUUUACUUGCUGAAUUGUACUGACCUCCAUUGUAAUUGCAGCUAUGCAGCAGAGGGUGUGAGUGUCGAAUGCCAACAUUCAUCUGCACGCUGCCAAAAAGAGGGCAGCAUCUGAAGCUGGGCCUUCACGAUCGCCGAAGAGGCAUCAUGCACUAGCUCCAGUCGGCAUUUCAACAUCGACUGUGGAACCCGAUGUCCCAUCGGCAUCGGUUCCUGAACCAGUCUUGGCACUGUCAGCUUCGAUAGUGCUCCCUACUGCAUCAUCCAUGGAAAGGGCAGCGAGGGGGACUACUAAAAUAGCAUCGGUAGUCCCACCACCUGAGAAAGUUUGGGCUGAGGUAAGAGAGCCCGAACAAUCUGUGUAUGCGCCAGUUGCUCCAUCAGUUGGGGUGCAGUCAAGUUCAAGCUUCCCCUCACUUUCAAAUAUGGGACCGUCGAUAACAGACAGGGGGAAAGCUCCAGUGGCGUCGGUGGAUGAUGCAGCACUAGAGAGCCAUGCGGUGCACUUCAACCUCCAAGUGCCUGUCGAUGAAUCGAUCUUGGUUAAUUCUGUACUGGCCAAGCGACUGUGCCAGGCAACUCUCCUUCUGGCUGAUCGGGAGCGUCGGAGGAAACGAUCGGUGGUCGAAAUAUUUUUAUCCUUUUAUCUGACCAUCAUUGGUGUAAGUCUCUUUGAUAAGCUUUCUUUCUUCUUCUUUUUUUAACCAGACUUAUUCUCUGUCUACAGUUGAUCCACGACAUGUCUGACCUAGAGGUCGGCUACACCACGUUCGCCGACAUCCGUAGCAUGUGGAAGAAUAAGGUGGUAGCCAUUGAUGCUGAGAAAGUGGCUGCACUUGAACAACUCAAGUCGGCAGCAGAGCGGGAAGUCAAACUUCAGGAGGAGAUUUUUCGACUAACUGAGACUUGGCAUCCUCGGGGGCCGAACUUGUGUCGGCUCACGGGGCUAUUUCAGCUCUUGAAUCAUAAAUCAAGAGCAAGAAGCAUUCUAUCCACCGACUUCGACGAAAGCGAGAUGGAUGCAUCGAAGAACUUGAAGCCGAACAUGGAUGUUAUCAGGCCAGCCUAGAAAGGUUGGCACUGGUCGAAGAAGAAUUAUCCUCUACUCGAGCCGAUGCUGAUUUGGCCGAGAUAGAAGCGGAGUCGGUAAGAGAAGCACUGGGUCGGGCAAUCGAAGAUUUUUGAGAUUCGAAAGAAUAUAGGGAAAAGAUCCUUAAAAAUGGCUUCACUUCGUACUGCAUCGGGUAUGAAAAUGAUCGAGAUGCGGUCAAAAAAUUAUAUCCAAACUUUGACUUGAGCAGCAUCGUUCCUCCAAGAUCAAAAGACGGAGUUGCUAAAGAAGAAGCUGCUCCAACUCUAGAAGAAGCACCGACUAAGCCCGAAAUUGUUUAAGUCGACGAUGCUACACCCGAGCAAAAGAACGAUGACGAAGUUUAGUCGAUGUAUUUUAUUUUUUUUUGUAAUCAGAUACCUGUAAUCAGACUUUGGUUUAAUUUUGUAACUUCUUGUUUUGGCAAUGAAUGAAAGCAUUUUUCUUCUAAGUUUGAACUUUAUUCAUCUGGAAUAUUGUCUGCAAUGUCUGCAAUGUAAAGUAGUCACCGAACAUUAAUCGGUGAUUCGAUCAUUCGGUAGGACUUGUAGAAUAUUCAUUAGUCACGUAGUCAUUUUGCCAUACUUGAUAGAAAUUAGGAUAACGAUUGUAAGUCGAAUAUCUCGUGCUCGAUAUUUGAUCGGGCUUGUACGUCGAAUUAUCUGAUAAUUGAUGGUAAGCCAAAUAUCCCUCGACUGACCAUAGCCUAGUCGGUAUAAUUUUAAUCCGACCUUGGUCAUUUUGGCAUUUCAUUCCGCUUAGUUAGAACUAAGUCGGUAUAUUAGUCUUUCAACUGUGAUCAGCUUUUACAAUGGAAAGCCGAUAUUAAAAAUCGAGAUAUAAUCAGCACUACGGCUUUUGCGGUGAAAGCCUGUAUAGUUGAUGUCGGUUGAGAUUACAGUCAGCAUAUCAGUUUUCAUAUGAAAAUUGAAAUACAGUCAUCAUCGAAGUAGUUGAUUCUUCGAUUUUUAUAGUGGAGGCUGAGAUAAACUUCGUGUCAAAGUACAGUAGAUAGCUCGGCUUUGGUAAUGGAAGCCGCCAUAUAACCAGUGGUUGAUAAAAUUUGUCAAAGACUUGUGAUUCUAAAAUUCUGAUUGUAUUUUAAAUAAUGUACAUAUCAUCACUUUUAUUGAUAAUACAUUUUUAGAUUGUCGGCAUUCCAUGUUUGGAGAAUCGCCGACCCUUCGAGAGUUUCUAGCCAAUAUGCGUCCGAUCUAAGAGUUUUCGAUAUUUUGUAAGAUUCUUCCCAGUUCGGAGAUAAUUUUUCUUGAUCCAGGGGUUUUGAGACUUCUGCUUUUCUUAAGACCAAAUCUCCUGGUCGAAAAAUCUUUGACUUAACUCUUGCAUUGUAAUACCGAGCUAUCCUUUGUCGAUAUGCAGCCAUCCGAACUUGAGCUUACUGUUAGAGUUCUGGAAGGAGAUCUAAGUCAGCUCUCCGACAUUCAGAGUUGCUCGGCUCACUAUAUUGCUCCACUCUUGUUGACGGUAAUCUGAUCUCAAGCGGUAUUAUUGCUUCUGUCCCAUAAGCUAAGUUGAAAUUGGAUUUUCUAGUUGGUAUGUGGGGAGUCAUUCGAUACGCCUAUAAGACUGGAUAUAAUUAUUCUACCCAGAGGCCUUUAGCUUUAUUCAGUCGGAUUUUUAGUCCAUAUAGGAUUAUCCGGUUGGUUACUUCCAUCUUGCCAUUUGACUGUGGAUGGCCAACUGACGUAAGUUUGUGCGUAAUAUGAAAUUUUGCACAAAAUUCUCUGAAAUUUUGGUUAUCAAAUUAUUGACCAUUGUCGGUGAUGAUAGUGUGUGGCAAACCAAAUCUGUAAAUAAUGAAUUUCUAAAUAAAGUCUUCCAUCUUGCUUUCAGUAAUUUGCGCCAGAGGUUCGGCUUCUACCCAUUUGGUAAAAUAGUCGAUAGCGAUCACUAUGAAUUUUUUCUGACCAGAUGCCAAGGAAAAAGGAUCAAGUAUGUCGAUCCCCCAUUGCACGAAGGGCCAUGGUGCUACAAUCGACGUCAGCUGACUAACCGGUUGAUAUUGUAUAUUUGCAUACUUUUGACAUGGUUCACACCUUCAGACGAGUUCAGUUGUAUUUUUUUUCAUGAUGGGCCAAUAAUAUCCUUGUCGCAGAACUUUAUAAGUUAGAGAUUUGUCCCCCAAGUGAUUUUCACAAAUCCCUUCGUGCACUUCUCUAUGUGUAUAGUCGGCAUCUGUAGGUCCUAAACACUUCAGCAAAGGGAGAGAAAAUGACCUUUUGUAAAGAAAUUAUUCAUUAUUAUAUAUUGAGAGGCCAUCCAUCAGAGUCGUUUAACCUCUGAGGAGUCCACAGGAAGGAUCCCAUCGGUCAGGUAUUGAACGAUCGGAUCCAUCCAGCUUGGUUCUAUAGUGAGCUGCAAUAUCUCCUCGACCUUAUCAAUACUCGACUGUUCGAGGCAUUCAAUAAAUUUUUGACCCAACAAGUUGAAAGCGAUAGUAGCCAGUCGCGAAAGUAUGUCGGUCUGAAUAUUUUCGAUUCUGAAAAUAUGAAAGAUCUUAAAAUAUUUCAAGCUUGUAGUAAAAUCUUUCACUUUUUGAAGAUACUUCAUCAUAAUGGGGUCACAGAUCUCAAAUUCGCCGUUGACCUAUCCAGUGAUUAGUUGUGAGUCGGUGAAGAUCUUCAAACUAUAAAUCUCAAGCUCCUUGGCUAUCUUCAAGCCGGUCAAAAAUUUUUCAUAUUCAGCUUGAUUAUUUGAGGCUUUAAAGUUAAAUCGAAGGGCAUACUCGGUGACUAUCCCUUCAGAAUUCGUGAGUGUGAGGCCAGCUCCACUACUUUGUGUAUUAGACGCUCCAUCAAUGUGCAGCACCCAGAUUGACUUUAAGUCGGGUUUGAGAGUGGUAGCCUCUUUUAUUGUAUUGUCAUCUGUAUCUUCUGGCUUAUUGUCGAAUAUAGUAUAUUCAGCAAUAAAAUCGGUUAGGACUUGCACUUUCAUGGGUGAUCGUGGGCGAUAUUGAAUGUCGAACUCAUCAAGCUUCACUGCCCACUUUGCCAUCUGACCUGACAUGUCAGGUCAAUGUAAGAUUGCCUUCAGUGGCUGAUCUGUCAGAACUACAAUCGGAUGGACUUGAAAGUACGGACGAAGUCGUUGCACUGAUAUGAUUAAGGCGUAAAUCAUUUUCUUCGCCCUUGAGUAUCAGACUUCGGCAUUGUGAAGUACUUUGCUGGUGUAGUAGACUGAUCGGUGGAUUCGGUUCUCAUCCUCCUAGAUGAGCACCGAACUAACUGCUUCUACUGAAAUUACCAAAUAGAGAUACAAUGUCUCUCCGACCCUUGAUUUUGUGAGCAAAGAUGGAGAAGCCAAGUAUUGUUUCAAGUCUUUGAAGAAUUUUUGGCAUACAUUCGAUCAUGAGAAAUCCUUCGUCUGCCGCAAAGUUUUGAAGAAUGGCAAGCAUCUCUCGACCGAUCUAGAAAUAAAUCGGUUGAGUGCGGCAAUCUUUCCAUUGAGUUACUGUAUCUCUUUCUUUAAACUCGGAUACUUCAUGUUGAUAAUGGCUUUGAUUUUUUUGAGAUUAGCCUCGAUUCCUCAUUGUGAAAUAAGAAAUCUGAGGAAUUUUUUGGAGGUUGCCCCAAAUGUACACUUAGUCGGAUUUAAUUUCAUCUAAUGCCAUCGGAGUGUGUCGAAAGCUUUCUCUAGGUUCCGAAUAUGAUUUGCAGUUUAGGGACUCUUCACCAGCAUGUCAUCUACAUAUACUUUCAUGUUCCAUCCGAUCUGUAUCUUGAAGAUCUUGUUGAUGAGCCGUUGAUAGGUAGCGUCGAUAUUUUUUAGACCGAAAGGUAUUAUUUUGUAGCAGUAUAUGCCUUUGUCGGUCACAAAAGUCAUGUGCUUUUCAUCUUCCGGUGCCAUACGGAUUUGAUUAUAUCCAGUGAAGACAUCCAUGAAACUAAGAAGUCGGUGGUCAGAAAUCGCAUCAACCAAUUGAUCAAUCUUCAGCAACAAGAAGCUGUCCUUUGGACAAGCUAUAUUCAGAUCAAUAUAGUCGAUGCAAAUCCUUCACUUUUCAUUGACUUUUCUUACCAUUACCACAUUGGCAAGCCAAUCAGGAUAUGUAGCUUCUCUGAUGAAGCCUGCCGUGAGGAGUUUGUCGACUUCUUCAUCAAUGACCUUUUGUCUUUCAAGAGCAAAAGACCACUUCUUCUAUCUCACCAGCUUAAUAUUUGGGUUGAUGUUAAGUUGGUGGGUUAUUAUUUUUGAAAAAAUCUCAAGCAUGUCGUUGGUCGACUAGGCAAAAAUAUCGACGUUGGCUCUGAGCAAUUUUAUUAAUUAUUGCCACUCUGAGUCAGAUAAUUGUGAUCCAAUUCGGAUCAUUUUUUUGAGAUCUUUUUCUUUCAAUGGAAUGGAAACCAAUUUUUCAACCGGUUCACUCCUCUUCUGAUUUUCUCUUUGAUCCAAUUUGUUAACAGACAAAGAGUCUUCAGGUUUAUUAUUUUGGGUGGAGACAAGGAAGCAACAUCGGACGAGUUGUUGAUCUCCACGCAUCUCUCUAACUCUAUAUCUUAUCAAAAAUCGGACUAACAAAUGGUAUGUCAAAACCACUGCUCUCAAAGCAUUUAGUCCAGAUCAUCCGAGUAUGGCAUUGUAAGCCGAUGGUACUCGAACCAUCAUGAACGUUAUGAAAAUAGUGCUCUGUUGUGGUUCGAUCCCAGCAGUUAAAAGGAGAGAAUUUUUUUUCUUCACUAUGACAGCAUCUCCUGUGAAGCCGACCAGUGGCAUCGAGAUUUUUCUGAGUCGGUCAGUCGACAGUCGCAUUCGACAGAAAGUCGAAUAAAAUAAAAUAUCGGUUGAACUUUCAUUAUCUACAAGAAUUCUUUUUAUAUCAUAGUUUGCUAUUAUUGCCGAAACAACAACAGCAUCGUCAUAGAGAAUCUGAAUUCUCCAAACAUCUUCUUUCGAAAAAGUUAUUACAUUGUCGAAUCACCGUCGCUUUGCCGACUCAUCUUCGAAAGUUGCCCUUUUAUCCAGUUGUCUAAAGAUCAUGUUGAUCACCCCUGUAGUCGGUUGAUCAUUUACAGCUUCUUCAGUUUGCAGUUGAGGUCAUCGAUCAGCAGGAGGUUGAGUCGGUGGAUCUCUCCGAUAUUUUUUAAGGUAGCCUCAUCGAAUCAGAGCUUCUAUCUCAUUCCUGAGCUGGAUGCAUUGUUCGGUAUCAUGACCGUGAUCAUGAUAGAACCAACAAUACUUCUUCCGAUCGUGGUUCCUCGGUAACACUUUCAUUGGUAGGGGGUGUCGUAGAUAUUUUGCUCCUUCAAUCUCCAUAAGAAUCCGCGCACGAGGAGCAGAAAGAGAAGUAUAGGAGUCAUACCUACCGUAACUCGGCCUUGGACUUCGUUGUCGGGGCGAAGCUCGCUUAUUAGAUGGUGGCCGACUUGAUUCGACUGGAGCUUCUUCCUUCUUCUAUUUCUUCUUCUUCUGACUUUUGCCUUCCGUCUGGCGCCUGUCAGAAGCUCCUUCAUCUGCGCGCAUAUAUUUGUAUGCACGCUCCAGAAGUUCGGCAUAAGUCUGAGAAAGAGUUUUAUGUAGAAAAUAUGUGAAUCGAGAUCUCCUCAUAUCUCUUUUCAUGGCCAAGAUAGUCAUACUUUCAUUGACAUCUUUGACCUCAAGCAUGGCCACAUUAAAACGAGCCACGAAAUCCCAAAGUGAUUCAAUCUCUCCUUGCUUGAUCGAGAAGAGACUAUCAGAAGUGUGUGGCGGCCUUCGACUGGUGCUGAAGUGAACCACGAAAGAAUAUUCUAGCUGUCCGAAAGAAUAUAUGCUUUCCGACUGAAGCCCAAAGUACUAGGCUCAAGCAGCUUUCUGAAGAAUUAUCGAAAAGCCGAUGCAUAAGAGGAUGUCGGUGGCCUUCUGAAUCAUCAUGAGAGCCUUGUAGCUCUCAAGAUGGUCGAUCAAAUUGGUAGAUCCGUCGUAUGGCUCCACCUGAGGCAUCUUGAAUCGAGAUGGGAUCGAUUGGUCCAAGAUAUACCGAGAAAGUGAUUGGGCGGUAUGGAAGUCAUAGUCAUUGGAGGACUUCCGACCUUUCAUUUGAAGCUAAGCAAGUUGACGAUUGAUCUCUUGAAAUUUACGUUCAUAAUCAUCGAAUCGCCAUUAGGAAACUCAAGGGGUUGAACCACCCGGCGAGUUAGAGGGGGAAGCAGACGGUGUUCGUAGUCGUUUUCCUUUCCUUACUUGAUCCAAUUAAGAAGGAGAGGGACGUCGUGAAUGAUGGAUGACGCAUCGAGAGUAUCGCGAAUGCCGCUGCUCAUCCUGAUGAGAGAACUGAGAUGAUCGCUUUGGUGAAAGAGAUUGCCGUGGAUGACGACGGCUGUGCCUAGAUGGCACCGAAUGCGCUACUGGUUGCUCUGCCGGCGACUGUGGUGGCUGGAUCUACUGCUACUGGAGGCUUCUAACCGCCUCCGUAAGAAUGUUCAUUUGCUGCACGAUUGCAGUAAUCUGGACGUCCGUGGUGACCACGGGUCGCGGAGAACUGGGCUCUGCUAUCGGAGGCAGAGGAGAAGACUCUUCUCGGUGGGAAGAGUGCAUCACGAUCCAGUUGCUGUUGACCGUUGAGCUCUGAUUUUCAUCAUUACAAGUUAUCUUUGUCCCCUACCUGACGUGCCAAUCUGUCGUGGCCAACUCUCCAUCGCCUGUCGUCAGAAAUGAACACCUGCAAAACAGCGUCUGCACAGACCGAAUUUGUGUCCGACGAAAACCUUCCGAUGCUUAAGUCAGAGAGAGAAGUUGGUGAACAGUAGUUGAAUGUAAACAGUAGCAGAGUUUUGGUCCAGAGUUGGCUUAGCAGUCCCAUUUUUCUUACCCCUUUUUAUAGAUGUGGUUUUCGUAACCGUCGGACGUGGUCCCGUAUUUUAUGGUGCUAAAUCAUCGGGCCAUAAUCACGUAGUAGAUCGUUAAUUUCCACUGAUUGCGCCGUGAUAUGCGUUCGGUAACCGUUCAUGAUGAUUAUGGUAUUCUGAGUUGACUGAUCGAUCAUAUGUCGAUAGAACCAACCAUAUGUCUAUAGAAUCCAUGAGCAACUGUCGGCUAGUAGUUCUGUUAUGCCGAUGGUCUAAGUCGUCUGCUGUCGAUUGGUAGUAGUCAAAUCAUUAGUCGUCAUUAAUCGGUCAGCUGGCAAUAGGUCGGUGCGGUUCGUUUAAUUGGUCGAUGAAGAGUCGGAACCACAUAUUCAGCCGAUAUAGAGUCGGAUUUGUAUAUCCGGUCGGUCGGCUGUUGUUGAGUCGGAGUCGGUAGUCGGUUGACUUGAGUUAGGGAUUUUGAGUUAUCCCAAUAAUAUUAGAUGUUAUAAAUGUAACUCAUUAUAAUUUAUCAGUAUAAGAUGUACCUUUGUAAUUUCAGACUCUCUUUUUUUUUUUUUUUUGAGGUGAAAUGGGAAGAAGCAAAGGCUUCUUAAGACCAAGCAAACAACAUCCUGUACAGAGCAUGCCCCCUUGAAACAAAGGAUGUUUCAACAUCCAGAGAGGGGUGCAAAAGAUUUCAGGUCAUUCAGUUUGAAGGUCAACCUCUGUUUUGAAUCAUUUAUGUUCGUUGGACAUCCGCAACGACUAUGCACACAACAUAUAUACAAUAACAAGGAAACAAAAUGAACAUUAAACAGACUAUCUGGAGAAGCUAUGAAGCUCUAAAUAUUAUUUUAACAUAAAAUUAUUUGACAGGCAUGUAAAUGUGAUUGCAGUUCAAACUCUUCCGGCAGAUAAGGACAUCAAAAAAAAAGGGGUCAGAGCCAUGAAUUGAAUAAUGCGAUAUGAGCAUGUACAUAUUUAAUGUCAAUCCGUUUUUAAUGCUAGGAGUAAUGGGAUAUGAACUUCUACUAUUUUGAUACAUAAUCAAGAGACAACUUAAGUGUUUUAAAUAUUUAAGGCACAACUCUUCUACUCCAAAUGUAAGGAUUACCAUGUGCUUUUUAUUCUACCUUUUGAUGAAUGAAAAUCAGAAGUCUUGAUACAUUAAACUAGAGUCGUAAUUCUAGUAGACCAGCAGUUUGUAGCUCCCUCAAAAGCAAAAAGAUGUUAUACUUCACGUUGUGAAAUUAAAAAAAGGAAAAAAGAAAAGAAAGAAAGAAAGAGAACUUCAGACCAAAGUAAAACCAGAACUCCUUUCUGCAUAGCUCACAGUAUUAGAGGUUUGUAUGAUAUUUAUGUUACUACCAAAAUCCGAUCUGAUAAUCUGCAGGUGUGGAGAGUGCUGAUCAAUCUACGGUAGUAGAAGACGAAGCAUCGACGCAUCGAUCUGCACAGAAAAAGAUGGGUAAAGGUGGUCUAAUGAUAUGAAGGUGUGGACGGUGCCGAUCGUUCUCCUGUGGUGGAAGAUGAAGCACCAAUCUACAGACAAAAAGAAGGGUGCUAUGAGAGGUCAUCAGAGCUAAUUUAGAUCAGAUAGAACUCUAGGAAAUAGGAGAUAUGGAAAAGAUAAAGGAGAAGAGAAAGUAGGGAGUUUGUUACUUGUGUUCAUACAUGGGAUGUUGAGCCCCUUUAUAGAUGAGGAGUACUCCCAGACAAGUGAAGAAUCAGUUGAAACUAAAAGAAAGAGAAAAUAGCAACAUCAUAACAGAAGAUGCGACAGUCCCUUGUCUAGCCCUUCCAACGUACAUUAGCCGUGUAUUAAAAAUAUACAGAAUAUUAAGAAUAUAUAUUAUUCAAAAUAUUUUAUAAAAAAAAUUAUACGAACACCUCCUCAAAUUUAUCUCAAUUUUAUUUACAACCUCUCAAGUUUAAAAUGUCUCAAUUAGAUCCUUCAAAUUAUUGAAGUGUAUCAAUAUACCUCUUCCAUCCAUUUAAAUGAUAACACUGUUAUAUUGCCCUUCGAAAAGAUGAAAAUGUCCAUCCCUCCCUUCAAAAUCUGUUACGAUACCGACCCUUCCUAUUUCAACAUCCGUCGUUUUGUAUCUCUUGUUUCCGACGAUUGUUCUCCGACGAGAUUCCAAUGACGACCUCCAUCCCACUCUCCAUUUCGAUCGAGCAGUGUCUCCUCCUUCGUGCACGAGCGUGACAGCCUCUUAAAUACUUUAUUUUCAUCCUUAUGUGAGCCAUGAAAUUAAGAGUGAGCCAUCCAGAAAAGAGAAAAAAUGGGGUACCAGCCUUUUCCUUCUAGAUGCAAGGGAUUGGAAGAUGUUUGUUUCCAAAUACCUUCUGUUUACCUACGAAGCAGCCUUAUCUACAUAUAUUUCACAUAAAUUAGUACUUCAUCCUUGUCAAAAGAACCAAAGCAAUAUGUCCAUCAACAUGAAUUCAGAUCUCUCAGAUAAGCCUAGGUCAUCUGUGUUACCUUGGACACAAAUGGCUGAAUGAUGUAACACGGUACCAAAGCAGAUGGAGGUCACUAGAUGAGGGGUGACAAGAAUCAAAUAAUUCACAUAUAAACAAAGAUAAUACAAUAUCUCCUGUGUCUCCGAUUGUUUUCCAUUAGAAGGAAAAAAAGUCCUACAGUGAAGGCACACUUACAAAAAAUUAUCAAUUAUACUAUUAUGCACCCAUGGAAUUAGUACUGGUACUUAAAGCAUAUAUCAGCCUUGGUAUCUCCAAUUUUGACCUAGGAUCUGCAUAUAUCAGACUUGGAAUGAGAUUUAUGACCUCCUCUCUCAUAUCCUUCGCAACAUCUGAAGGAAUUUGCUUCAAUCUUUCUUCAAUGCUAAUGUUCCUCUUACGAAUAUCAUCUUCUGGGAUGAAGACUAAAUACUUCGAAUAAUUUCUUGGAAGAUGCCAAGUGUAUUGGGUAUAAGCUGACCCCGGAUGGAAGAAACAGGAAUACAACCAGCUAGCAUUGAGUCAAAAGCUGAUCUCCUUGUAUAUGAAUCCCCUUGAGGCUGCAAGCAGAACAAAGAGCUCUGGAACAUCUGCAUUAUGCUGCUAGGAGGGUGGCACUUGCUCUCCCCAAAAUCACAUUCCAACAAUUUACAAACCUUAGACUUUUUGCACUGGUUGAUAAUAUGUCCUCUAAUAGAUUUUGGGUUAUCAGGAUGUGGUGCCCCUGCAAAGGAGAAAAGAAACUUUCGCUCCAACUUUCUCAUUCGAUCCUGCCAAACGAAAGCAUCAGCAUCCUUCGUCGGGUGGAAAUAAGUAGGAUAUGAUAUCCCAAAAUCAUUUGCAUUCCAUGGGCGUGACUCCACGACCAGCAUAAACAUGUUUUUGGCAGCCGGUAAGAAGAGAAGCCCAAAUCCAUUAACUCUAACCAUCAAUCUCAACUAAAAUCAUAAAUUUUGGGAAUCCAUUACAGCUAAGGAGAAGACAAGAGCAUCUCUUGUAUCAAUAUAUAGAGCCCAAAUCGUAAUCCGGUGUUCAAAAUAAAGACACGAUGAAUCACUCCAAAAAUAGCAUCAACCAAAUCCCUAAAUCAUCAUUCAGCAUCCGAAAACUGGGCAACAUAACAACAGAGCCCAUAUCCUACUUUGCUACCCUAAAAUGAGUAAACAGCUGUAAAAUCAUGAGAUACCCCCGUAAAACCUGAACAAGUCCUCAAAUCACAGCUACCAUAGAAAGAACUUAAUCCUAACUGCAACGGUGGAAGCCUAGAGACAUCAAAAAUAGCAGAAUUCGAAGGAAGAAAUCGACCAGAAAACCAAAAAAAGAAAAAGAAAAACUUCUUGGAUUGAAUCAAGACGAUAAAUGAACUAAAAAUCAGAUCUUGAGAAUGAAAAGAAGGGGAAGAAGAGAUCAGUGAGAGAGUGGGAGAGUGUAUACUUAGAGAGCACGAGAGAGGAAUCGACGCCGAGCUCUCUGUGCUGGACAAUUCAGCCAAUUUGAUAGCCAAAUUGAAAUCAAGGAUAAUUUUAUUAUUUUAAAAAAAUAAAAUAUCAUAUGAGCGUCGUAUGAUAGCAUUCCGUUAACGAAGAUAGACAGAAGUGCUAUAUUGAUACACUUCGAUAAUUUGGAGAGCUUAAUUGAGACGUUUUAAACUUAAGGAGUUACAAGUAAAAUUGAAAUAAAUUUGAAGGGUGUCCGUAUAAUUUUUUCUAUUUUAUAAUUGCUAUGGCAUGAUUCUUUGGGAUUGGGAGGAUCACGAUAUUAGGAAUGUACAUUGCCAUGAUUUUUUUGGGAUUAGGAGAAUCAUGAUAUUAGGAAUAUACAUUACCAUGGCAUGAUUUUUUGAGAUUGAGAGGAUCACGUGACUGAUAUCAUAAUCUCUCAAUUUUUUGUCUGAUUUUCUCUUCUUCACCUCUAUAUAUGGAUGUACGUAUCACAGUAAAAUAUAGUAAAGAAAUAUUUUUCACUUGCGUUUCUCCUUUCUCCACUCAUUCCUUCAUCUCUUGGGCAUUUCUUUAUACUGAGGAUUUAGGCUAGAGAUGGCUACAGACAACUGCUUUGUUUGAGCAGCAAGUCAACAUGAAUUGUAUUGCCUGCAAGCCAUUCUCUGGGUUGAUUCCUUCUGCGAGGAAUAUGAGCUGCUAUAUGUGUCAAGAUCGUUUGCUUCCAUGCAAGAACAUCCUGCAGUAAUGGGUUGUUCAUCCAUGUGCACAUAAGGAGGGCUUGUUAAUCCAAGACAAAGUGGGUAAAGUUGGAUUUUGGAUUAGUAACGUGAACGAGUGACUCACGUUCCAACAGUUUGGUUGAAGAAGAGUCCUAUAUUCAUUCCAAUCCUAGAAAAAAUGAGAAUUACCCUAAUCCCUCAAAAUACAAUCUGUACUUUCCUUUAAUAUCCAAAUUCCAUCCCAAUUCUAAUUUUGAUCGUGAACCUAUCGCAUCGAAGGGUAUGGCUAUUUCGAUUCUUAUUACAAUCUAUUAUGAUACCGACUCUGGGCUAUUCUGAUCAUGUACCAAAUGCACCAUUUUUACCUUAUUUCUUGCAUAUAGAUUUAGGGGGACAAAGGAGAGACUUGCAUGUUAAAACGAUAUUUGUAUAUGCAAUGUUUUGUAGACUACUCGUGGACACCAAAAACGGAUGGAGCCGGUGAGAGACUAAUCCUAUUUGACUGAACAAACUCAUCCUUCAUCCAAUCAAGACCACUAAACAAAGCUACCAAACAAUUGCUGGUAUCACAGUGUUUCAUUAUGAGGUGCAAAGACCAUGCUAUCGUUGCCAGUGGGCUGUACAUAUCAAAAGGUCAUCUUUGCUGAUGUACAUACAUGCAUGUGCGUCAUAAAACGAUAAUAAUAAUAAAAAAAAAUCACGAGGGAGACGUACAUCGACAUUUUUUAAAAAAAAUUGUUUGGUAAACAACAUCGCCAUUCAAAUACUGUACAUUAAACAACAUCGCCAGCAACGCAACGCAAGGCAGUCCCUGUUGCGCAAUGAACCGCGUGUAAAGGUAGACCCGCUCUCGCUCUCCAAUUGCUCCAGUUUUCCACCAUGCGGACGGACUGGUCGUCUAGCGCAGUCUUAUUAUAACAAACGAAAUGGUGACCUACCAUCUCCCUCGCCAACUUUGAAUUCUUUGAACCUGGAAGUCAAGUCGGGAGCCCAGGUUCAUCCCCUCUGGGCCCUGGCCAUAGAAAAAUAAAAUUGUUUCUUUUACCCUUACUUUAUCGGAUGACUCUGAAGAGACUUUCACUUCUACUUGAUGAAGCAGGACGAGAUGAGAACCGUGAGUCCUGCAACCGCCAGUAGGACUCUUGAGAUCCACCUGCUCCCCCAGAUGAAAGAGGCCACGUUACUCAUUAGGGGACGCCAAUAGCAAAACCGGAUUCCGAAACAGCUGAGUGGGAUCUGAUCCGGUAAAUAAAAAAAUAAAAAAAAUUAUAAAAAUAUCUUUCAACUUUAAUUCAAUUUUAUUUAUAUUUUUUAUAUUUUAAAAAAUAUCAAACUAAUCCUUCUAAUUAUCGAUAUAUUUUAAUAUAAUCCAACGAUCUAUCUCUAUUAACAAAAAUUUAUAAAAUAUCAAAAAUAUCCUUACCUUAAUCUUCUUUCUCUUCCUUUCUUUUUCCUUUUUCCUCUCCGAUUGAUCUCCUCCAUCAUCACCAGUAUUCCUCUUUCUCCCUUCUCCCUUCUCCCUUCUCCUCUCCUUUCUCCUUCUCUCCUUCCUUCUUAUCCAAUUUCUCCUCUCUCCUCCUCUCUUUUUCCUUUUUCUCCCUUCUUUCUCCUUUCCUUUCUCCAUCUCCUCCCCUUCAUCCCCAUCCACUUCUCAUUCUCAUCCUCCUCCUCCAAACCACUCGUAGAUCAUUCCUCUCCACCUUCGUCUCUUCUUGCCUUCUCCAUCUUCUUUCUUCCAUUUUCUUCUCCUCCUUGUCCUCCUCCUCCAUCUCAUUUCUUGCCAGUAGCCCUUCUUCCUUCUUUUCCUUCCUCCUCAUCUUCUUUCUUCUCCUUAUCCUCUUUUUUUCUAAGCUAACUCACGGGUCCCAUCCUUUUAUAUAGCCCCUCUCUACAUCCACCUCUUCUCAUCAGUAAAAUAUCUUUUCCUCUCUUCUUUCUUCUUACUCAUUUCUCCUUUUUUUAUGGUGGCUUCCUCUAUCUCUUUUCCUUCUUUCUUAUCUAUUUUGCCUUCUCAUUUUUCUCCUCCUCCAAAUCGUUAAUAAACCAUUGCCUUCACGAUGGCCCUUUCCACUUCUAUCUUUCUCGUUGAUAACUCAUUCUUCUCCCUUUUCUUCCUCUCCAUUUUUUUUUUUUUCUUGUUCUUUUUUCCUCUAACUCAUUUCUCAUCAGGGACCUCCUCCCACUUUUCUUCAUCUAUUUCUUUUUUCAUUUUCUUCCCAUCUCAAAUUCAUUUAUGAGUAAAAAAUAUUUUAGUUUAUUAAAAAAUUAAUAUUAUUUAUUGAUAAAAUAAAUAAUUAAAUCAAAAUAUAUUGGUAAUUAAAAAAAUAAUUUGAUAUUUUUUAAAUAUAAAAAUAUAAAUUAAAUUAAAUUAAAAUUUAUAUUAAUUUUUUAAAAAAAUAAUGAGAGAAACGGGGCCAGAAAGUAACUGACUGGGUGGGGUGGGGGUGGGGGUGGUGUAAAACAGAAUAUCUAGUGGCUUCGCAACGGGGGGACGAACCAGCCGGAUGGAUGAUGGGGGAUAGGAAAAGAACGCGGGUUAGGUGGUGCGCGAGAGUGCAAGGGGAGGAAUCGGUCGUUUCGGGACAGAUGCAAUGCACCUGGCGAUUACGUGGUGACGAUUAUUUAUACUCAUCCCACACCGUUCGGGCCGUUCUUCGCACUCUCUCUCUCUCCCUCUGGUCGGUACCGCUAUUUACAUACACAACAUCAUUCUCUCUCUCUUCUUCUCCGCCCCAGAGAUCCAAUCCGUCCAUCCCCUCCUCCCAACCUGUCGCCAUCUCGAGCUCACGUCAUCCCAUCGAUCCACCCCCCCUCCCGCUUUUGAUAAAAAAAAAAAAGAAAGCUGAAGGGGGAGAGCCAGUAGACCAUCAAACCUUUUCCUCCUCCUCCUCGCUCGUGUUUUUCUCUUUUGGUUUUUGCCCUACUUAUCCCAUCGGAGUAGGGUUUCUUGGAUGAGAGCGGGAAUUAUUGCCGUGGGAUGCAUUCAGCGGCCGAAGGAUUGGCCGAUCCUGUUGUAGCGGUGUCCUUCCUCCUGAUCUUCCUUUUUCUUGUUGAUCUUUUCUUGUUUUCGUCGGUGGUUGGUUCCGGCUCCUCCCCGGGGGUACAGCGAUGCCGGCGCUCGUCAACUAUGGAGGUAUUCCUGGGAUCUUCCCUUCCUUCUCUCUCUUUCUUGAUGGGGCCUUGGAUCCGGAACUAGAUCUGUUUCUCUGCUUGAUCUGAGGCCUUCAAAAGAGUUUUGUAUUUGACAAUCAACCCCUCUUUUUCUUUCCCUUUCUCUUGUUUUUUUUUUUUUUGUUCUUUGUCUUUUUUGGGUUUCAAGAUCGAUGGGUCGAUCUGUUUCUGCUCUGCGACUUCGUUGUUUUUCUCUUUGCACUUGGUUUAGGCGGUGCUUGCGGUAUUCCUCUGGAUCGAUUUUAGGGUUUUGAUUUAAGAUUUUUCUAUAAUGGUUUUCUUGCGUCUUUGGUGGAGAUCGGCAUGGGAUUUUCGGAUUCGAUUCUGUUUUUGAUUUAAGAUUGUUCUUGUGAUGAUUUAGUUGUUUUCUUGCCUUUGGUGCAGAUCGGGUGGGGCUUUUCGAGAUUCUUUGACGAUUCUGGACGUAGAUCGAUUAUUGUUUUCCUUAUGCGGUUUUGUAGAUCUGCAAUUUAUAGAUCUAGUGUUCGUGGCUUUGAUUAUUAACUUUCAAACGUGCCACUCCGUUCUUCUUCAGGAGCUGUAUUUUUCAAGUAGAGAAUCACAUAAAAUUGUAGGUUUAGGUCUUUCUUCCUCUGUGAUGGAUCUAUAAUUUUUUCUUCUUCUUCUUCUUCUUCUUCUUUGAUCUUUUUCUUUCUUUUUUUUGGGUCUUUUUUAUUUUUUGUGGGGUGGGGGGGUGAUCUAUGCCAAUGAAUUUAGGGUUUUCAUCAUCAUCUUCCUCCUUCCAGCUGUUCUGUUAUUUAAAGCCCGGUUGCAAACGUUAGAGGUACACGGAUAUUCAUGAAACUCACCUUUUUUUUCUCCUUUUUCUGAUUCUCAGGAACUGAUGAUCUCUGCUCUGUGGGACCUCUCAUUUCGAACCUCAUGGAUUCGAGCCGCCUCUUGUCUCUCACUCCUAACGUUGAUGUCUUCUGCCCGCCUCGCAAGAGGUCACGGGUCACUGCUCCUUUCAUCUUUAAAGGAGGAGAGAAGCAGGGCGCUGAGAAGCAAAAGCAGCAGUCCUGCUCCAUCGAUGUUCUUCCUGACGAGUGCCUCUUUGAGAUCCUCCGGCGGUUGCCAGGAAAUAAGGAGAGGAGCAACUCUGCUUGUGUAUCCAAGCGUUGGCUUAUGCUCUUGAGCACCAUCCGGGCUUCUGAGAUGGCUGCUCACAAGAAUAAUUGCACCAGCGGCUGUGAGACCUUGAAGAAACCUUUGCCAGAUCUGAACAGUGCUAUGAGUACGGACGAGGAAGAGGAAUUCGAGAGCACUGGCUAUCUUACUCGGAAGUUAAAAGCAAAGGAUGCCACAGAUGUUAGACUUGCUGCUAUAGCUGUUGGUACUGGUGGCCAUGGUGGGCUGGGUAAGCUUUACAUUGAAGGAAGCAAUGCAACGCGUCCGCUCACUGAUAUUGGACUGUCUGCUGUGGCCCGUGGUUGCCCUUCCCUACGGGUUCUGUCAAUGUGGAAUGUUCCCUUCAUCAGUGACAUCGGCCUAUCCGAGAUUGCAAGUGGGUGCCCUACGCUGGAAAAGCUUGACCUCUGCCAGUGUCCUUUAAUCUCAGAUAAGGGUUUGAUAGCUGUUGCUCAGAAGUGUCCCAACUUGACAUCUCUGAUGGUAGAAUCUUGCUUGAGCAUAGGCAAUGAAGGCCUGCAGGCUAUUGGUCGCUGCUGCCCAAAGUUGAAGUCUAUUGUUAUUAAGGACUGCCCACGUAUUGGUGACCAAGGAGUUGCAAGCCUGGUCUCUGCAGCUUCAUCUUUUCUAGCCAGGAUUAGGCUUGAGAAUGUGAAUAUCAGUGAUGUGUCUCUUGCUGUCAUUGGGCACUAUGGGAAGGCUGUUGCUGAUCUAGCACUUACUGGCCUCCAGUCAGUAAGUGAGAGGGGUUUCUGGGUCAUGGGCAAUGCUUUUGGCCUGCAGAACUUGAAGUCUAUCAUGAUCAACUCUUGCCGUGGGGUUACUGAUCUGGGCCUUGAGGCCAUUGCAAAGGGUUGCCCAAAUCUAAAGCAGCUGUGCCUCCGCAGGUGUUGCUAUCUGUCAGAUGCUGGCCUGAAAGCUUUUGCCGUAACAGCUAGGGCACUGGAGAAUCUGCAUCUGGAGGAGUGUAACCGGAUCAGUCUAAUUGGUGUUCUUGGCUGUCUUCUGAACUGCAAUGAAAAAUUCAGGGCACUAUCCUUGGUGAAAUGCUUGGGGAUCAAGGAUAUAAGUUUCUGCACAGCCCCACUCCCCUCAUGCUUGUCUCUUCGAUCCUUGACCAUCCGUGACUGCCCUGGUUUCACUGGUGCUAGCUUAGCAGUGGUUGGGAAGAUCUGCCCACAAUUGCAGCAUGUAGAUUUGAGCGGCCUAGUUGGUGCGACUGAUGCAGGCCUUCUGCCUCUGAUUGAAAGUUCAGAGGUGGGACUAGUUACAGUCAAUUUGAGUGGCUGUGUUGAUCUGACAGAUGCUGUUGUCACUGCACUGGUGAAGGCACAUGGAAGUACUCUCCAGAUGCUUAAUCUUGAAGGCUGUAAGAAGGUUACUGAUAAGAGCCUCUUAUUGAUUGCAGACAGUUGCUCUUUUCUUGAUGAUCUUGACAUGUCGAGGUGCAUGAUUGGUGAUUAUGGUAUUGCAGUCCUGGCGUCUGCAAGUCAGCUUAAGAUGCGAGUCCUCUCUCUCGCUGGCUGCUCUAAUCUGACCCAAAAGAUUGUGCCGUUCUUGGGCAACAUGGGCAGAUCCUUGGUGGGGCUGAACCUCCAAAACUGUAAGCUGAUCAGUACUCAAGAGAUUGGAGCACUCGAGGAGAAGCUGUGGUGGUGUGAUAUCUUUUACUAGAAGAUCGGAGAGAGGGGUGCAGGAGAUUCUUUGGUCGGUCCAUUGAUGGGAGUCUCCAGCACCAGAUGACAGAUAAAAACAGCAGUAGCAUCAGCAGUUUUAAAUUUCCAGUUGGUUUUUGGCUCGUGUCAUAGGCAGUGGGCUUUCUUCUUUGUCGCAGGACUUGGUUGUUUUUCAGGGACCUUUGGCCAGUCUUACUUUUUUGCAGAUUCUCCUCUUUUAGAGGGGAAGCCUGUUUCAGAGUGUUUGGCUGCCGCUGAUUGGCUAGCUUUCCUCUAUCCUGGUCUUGGUUCUUGAGAUCACAACUUAUGCCUAGUCCUGGUUCAUAGUGGUCUUUUUGAAUCAGUGCUUGUUUAUGUCAUUUCUAGGUGUCUUUUUUUAAGCGGGUCCUGGUUAUGUAUCGCUGAGGCAGCUGCAUCUGUCGCUGCUCGUGUUUUAGCCAAGCCUCAUUGGUAGUUGAAGCUCGUGUCUGAAGUUUCAAUCAGGUCUUGUAGGUGUUGUUCCAGUUUGGACUCGUGUCCUCUGAGUCGGAUCUGUUUGGUUCUAUUAGUGUUGGUCUCGUCUGGUUGCUUUUGCACAGUUCUGUUUGGUUGCCUGAGAUUUAUGGGGCUUUGGUUAUGGCAGCACAUACUUGGAGCGUGCCAUGACAGCCUUGUUUGGUUGUUUUUUCCACCAAGCCCUACUUUUGCAGGCUGAUGGCUGAGGACUGUAAUCUUUGCAACCUUUCUUAUAAUGAGUAAUUCUUAUGUUAAAUGUCCAGUGUUUAAUGCUUUCAGAGACUGGUUUGGAAGUUUAUGUUUUCUGUUCCAGCUUUUAUGAAUGUGAAGUCUUCUGCUCUUGCAUCCGGUUUGGAAUACCUUUCAGGACGGCUGGGGCCUUUAGCACUGCACUGUGUUAUUCUGGUUUACAUUGGGAGACUUUGAAAGAAUGAUUGUAAUGUUGGUCGCUGCUAAUAGUGGCAUGAAAGUUUGGUAAAAUUCUGGUUCUUUCAUGGGACAUAAGGAAAAGUUUUGUUCAUUUCAUGAACUCAUGAACUCAAGCAACUUACGUUGUAGUCUUAUAUGAUAAGUUGGGAUGAUGAUGCGUUCUCUUCUUUCCAACCUCGAGAGGGCUGGUCUUGGACCUUGGUGCUACGGUAUGUUGUGACGUGCAGGCGAUCUCGUGCUACGGUAUGUUGUGACGUGCAGGCUAUCUUGUGUUUUUGAAGUCUCAGUGACAGUAAGGAUUCUUUUAUGUCUUGAUUGGAACGUGCUAGAACCCAACUUGUUAGGCUUUUUAACCACUUUUCAUGGGGGUUAUGCCAAGUAGGGAAUUAGCUUCUUUUGUUGAUAUUGCCCCAUUUAGUCCCUCCUUUCUGCUACGCGCCUCAAAAAGAGGCCCAGACAGACCCAGAGGGCAUAGCAGCUUCCUCCAAAGAUUGCCCACCCAGAGGGCAUAGAGGCUUCCUCCAAAGCUUGCCCACCCAUAUGAUCGUGGGGGUCGUUCUCGUCGUUUUUUUUUUGGAUAAUUCUCUCUAUUGAGGAGUGAGUCAUUUUUCUAAUCAGAAUAAAUUGAUCCUCGGAUGAGGAGAUGACUUGCCGCUUCAACAUGUAUUAACAACCCCUCUAGUGAAAGAAGAGCAUGGAGGGCAGAAGACCCGGAGUAGCCUCGAGGAGAGAGUUGAAAACAAGUCCUUGGAUGGCGAACGACCUCAAGCUCAAACAUUAACCGACCAAAUCACCGACGAACCUCAACAUAGAGAUCUAAAUCUUCUUCUGAAAAAAUACAAUACCGC